AAGGCUUUGGCUUAACAAAAGUAUCUGAGUUGCAUUCAGGGGAUGUGAGAUAAAAUCUUGCAAGUCUUA
rnacentral:tRNA from 1 species